CGAGUGGCGGACGGGUGAGUAAUGCUUGGGAACUUGCCUUUAGGUGGGGGAUAACAGUUGGAAACGACUGCUAAUACCGCAUAAUGUCUACGGACCAAAGGGGGCUUCGGCUCCCGCCUUGAGAGAGGCCCAAGUGAGAUUAGCUAGUUGGUGGGGUAAAGGCCUACCAAGGCAACGAUCUCUAGCUGUUCUGAGAGGAAGAUCAGCCACACUGGGACUGAGACACGGCCCAGACUCCUACGGGAGGCAGCAGUGGGGAAUAUUGCACAAUGGGGGAAACCCUGAUGCAGCCAUGCCGCGUGUGUGAAGAAGGCCUUCGGGUUGUAAAGCACUUUCAGUUGUGAGGAAAGGUUGGUAGUUAAUACCUGCCAGCUGUGACGUUAACAACAGAAGAAGCACCGGCUAACUCCGUGCCAGCAGCCGCGGUAAUACGGAGGGUGCGAGCGUUAAUCGGAAUUACUGGGCGUAAAGCGCACGCAGGCGGCUUGUUAAGCUAGAGGUGAAAGCCCCGCGCUCAACGUGGGAACUGCCUUUAGAACUGGCAGGCUAGAGUCUUGGAGAGGGGAGUGGAAUUCCAGGUGUAGCGGUGAAAUGCGUAGAUAUCUGGAGGAACAUCAGUGGCGAAGGCGGCUCCCUGGCCAAAGACUGACGCUCAUGUGC
rnacentral:rRNA from 1 species